rnacentral:rRNA from 1 species
GACGAACGCUGGCGGCGUGCUUAACACAUGCAAGUCGAACGGACAGGCCCUGCUUUUGUGGGGUGCUCGAGUGGCGAACGGGUGAGUAACACGUGAGUAACCUGCCCUUGACUUUGGGAUAACUUCAGGAAACUGGGGCUAAUACCGGAUAGGAGCUCCUGCUGCAUGGUGGGGGUUGGAAAGUUUCGGCGGUUGGGGAUGGUCUCGCGGCUUAUCAGCUUGUUGGUGGGGUAGUGGCUUACCAAGGCUUUGACGGGUAGCCGGCCUGAGAGGGUGACCGGCCACAUUGGGACUGAGAUACGGCCCAGACUCCUACGGGAGGCAGCAGUGGGGAAUAUUGCACAAUGGGCGGAAGCCUGAGGCAGCAACGCCGCGUGCGGGAUAACGGCCUUCGGGUUGUAAACCGCUUUCGCCUGUGACGAAGCGUGAGUGACGGUAAUGGGUAAAGAAGCACCGGCUAACUACGUG